GGUAAAAAGAAAAUCCGGAGGCACCCGCAGCGCAAAGCAGAGCACGCAGUUUCCUCAGCCAAGCGUGGUGAAGAUGCUCUGUGUCACUGCAGGGACAAGGUGAUGCUGGCAACAGUGGGGAAGCAACCAGAAGGCAGCCUGGUGUCUACACCAGCCAGUGCACCACGUACUCCCAGACAGCCUUUAUCCCUGAAGCAAGCCCUUGGUCACUUGGGACCUUCACAGCUCAGAGAUUAUUUCUGCCACUUCUCCAAUUGGCAACAUCACAGCAGCAGACCAAUAAACGCUUUUACGCUGAGAUUCCUGAUAUACAUGAAAACGAACUUGGUUUUUAACAGGUCUUGGAAGAUGUGAGAUUCUGAAAAACCAUUUAUUUGGAAAGGCUGUUGCUUGAAGUUCAGGAGAAGGUGACUUUUUGUUUAGGGUCACACAGAGAUCUGCGGGGCCUCAGUGAGGCAGCACAUUUGUCCUUUGUGCAAAAGCAGACAGGCCGCAGGAAUUUAGCGGGUUAUUAUUGCCGCUUGUAUUAAGUGAACUGUAUUUUUAAAAAGACUGUCAAAUUUGCAUCGAAUCUGGGGUACACAUGCUUUCCAUGUUGAAAAGAGCAAAAAUUAAGUUUUUAAGAUGCCAGCUGUCCUAUUUCAAGGAACAUGCACCACAUCCUUAGAAAUACUGCACAUGCUUACAGAUGAGCAGAGAAUUUGAAUUCAUGUUUAUAGCUUAAAACCUACAGUAAUUAGAAUACAAAUCUAUUUUACAUUAACAGAGGAGACUUAAUCUCACUUUUUGAGUCACAAAUCUGUUAAGGUCAGUUAGCAAAUUCAAACAUUGGAAAGUGAGGAUAAUUCAAUGCUUUUUUGCCUACACAUUAAGCAAUGAGUACAUGCAGCAACAUUAACAUGCUGUGUCCUGACAAGUAAAAACGAUAUUUUUAAACAACUCAUUUUGGAUACUUAAGCUUAAAACAUCAGCUGUAACCUCCAUACCAGCAACUCAGGUGAGAUCUUGCACAACUCCUCCACGCGACAAAGCAGCAGCCUAAGCUAACCUGAAGCCAUCAUUAUUAAAAAAGGCCACCUAAGACACCGAAGAGGACUCUUUCCCAAAAUGAGAGGUUUCAAGCACCGAUUCCUAAGAGGUGUUCAUGAAAGACUGUUAAUAAAAGCCUAAAGAGAUCCAGACAUUUAUACUACUAAAAUUAUCCACUCUGAAAGCAAAUACUAUUUCACAGUCUCUGUAAGCUUAUUUUGCUGGUGAUACAGCAGAACUGAAUUUGCUUAACGCUUUCAACAUUUCACAAGUUGUAACAUCCAAAAAUACAUGAAACAGCUUAGUAAGUCACCUCAGAGACAGAAUACUUAAGGCUCUUCUCAAAGGUUGGUGCUCCAAGGGCAGAUGACAAGCACAAGAGAGGGUGCUUUUUGUCAAAUUGGUAUGUUUUAAAAAUGCUUUUACUUUUAAAAAUUGAAUCUCAGGCUUUUAAAUCUAGACCAAAAUUCAAGUUCAUUCCUGUCAAAGUGCAUCAACAUACAAGCCAUAUUGAUUUUUAUAAUAAGCCGUCCAUCUUUCCAUUCUCCAUGCUGCUAUAAAUGUAGCAAGUU